rnacentral:rRNA from 2 species
GAGUAGUACAAGAUAAGAUCUCGAAACUCAAAAAAUUUGGCGGUAUUUUAUCUAAUCAGAGGAACCUGCUUAUUAAUUGAUAUUCCACAACUUAAACUUACUUUUAUUAAUUUAUUUGUAUACCGUCGUCAUGAAUCUACUAAAAAGUAAUUUUCAGGAGUUUUUAUAAAAUUUAUGUUAGAUCAAGGUGCAGUUUUUGAAAGAAAAAAGUGGGUUACAUUAUUUAAUAUGAAUGAAAAUUAUUGUUAGAUAAAUAAUAGAAAUAGGAUUUGAAAGUAAAAAAAUUAUUAAAGAUUUUUUAUGAAUUUAGAUUCUAAAAUAUG